rnacentral:rRNA from 1 species
AUGAAACUAAUAAGUUGGAACUGUCGGGGCAUCCUCGGCGCCCCGACAGUUCGGUCGCUUUUGGAUAUCCAGAGGCGGCAUAGACCAGAUGCGUUCUUUCUGUCGGAAACGCAUUUGGAUGAUGAAAAGGCAGAAGCUCUCAGAGUAAAACUGCAGAUGGAUGAGAUGCUAGUGGCACCAUGUUUAGAUGGAAGAAAGGGUGGUUUGCUCUUGGUCUUGAAGAAGGAGGUGAGGAUCUACUACCGGACCACCACACUUGAUUUCAUUGAUGUGUCGGUAGAAAAUGCAAAUGGCGAUAUGUGGAGACUUACAGGCAUCUAUGGAGAACCCAACUGGAAUUGUAAACACCGUACAUAUCAGUUGAUACGGGACUUGCACGCCCAGUCAAGGUUACCAUGGCUUGUUAUAGGGGAUUUCAAUGAAAUCCUCUAUUCUGAUGAGAAGGAAGGUGGCGCACCCAGGAACCAGUCGUGCCUCCAAGCGUUUCAAGAUGCUUUAACUGAUUGUUCCUUGGAGGACUUGGGCUUCAAUGGUGACAAAUUUACGUGGUUCCGCGGGGGGCUGCGAGAGCGGCUAGAUCGAGCUGUAUCGAAUGAAGAUUGGAUGUUACUACACCCGCUCGCUGGACUCAGUAACCUAGAGAGAUGGGCAAGUCGGAUCAUAGGCCGAUUUGUCUAG